GACGAACGCUGGCGGCGUGCCUAAUACAUGCAAGUUGAGCGCUGAAGGUUGGUACUUGUACCAACUGGAUGAGCAGCGAACGGGUGAGUAACGCGUGGGGAAUCUGCCUUUGAGCGGGGGACAACAUUUGGAAACGAAUGCUAAUACCGCAUAAAAACUUUAAACACAAGUUUUAAGUUUGAAAGAUGCAAUUGCAUCACUCAAAGAUGAUCCCGCGUUGUAUUAGCUAGUUGGUGAGGUAAAGGCUCACCAAGGCGAUGAUACAUAGCCGACCUGAGAGGGUGAACGGCCACAUUGGGAAUGGGACACGGCCCAAACUCCUACGGGAAGCAGCAGGAGGGAAUCUUCGGCAAUGGACGAAAGUCUGAACGAGCAACGCCGCGUGAGUGAAGAAGGUUUUCGGAUCGUAAAAAUCUGUUGGUAGGGAAAAAAGUUGGUGGGAGUGGAAAGCUCAUCAAGUGACGGUAACUAACCAGAAAGGGACGGCUAACUACGUG
rnacentral:rRNA from 1 species